rnacentral:rRNA from 1 species
GCUACGGAAUAACUCAGGGAAACUUGUGCUAAUACCGUAUGAGCCCCCCUUUAAAAUUUCAGGAAUCAUAAAAUGCCCUGGCAUUUUAUGGGGGGGAAAGAUUUAUCGGCAAAUGAUCGGCCCGCGUUGGAUUAGCUAGUUGGUGGGGUAAAGGCCUACCAAGGCGACGAUCCAUAGCUGGUCUGAGAGGAUGAUCAGCCACACUGGGACUGAGACACGGCCCAGACUCCUACGGGAGGCAGCAGUGGGGAAUAUUGGACAAUGGGCGCAAGCCUGAUCCAGCCAUGCCGCGUGAGUGAUGAAGGCCCUAGGGUUGUAAAGCUCUUUCACCGGUGAAGAUAAUGACGGUAACCGGAGAAGAAGCCCCGGCUAACUUCGUGCCAGCAGCCGCGGUAAUACGAAGGGGGCUAGCGUUGUUCGGAUUUACUGGGCGUAAAGCGCACGUAGGCG